rnacentral:rRNA from 1 species
UAUGGAGAGUUUGAUCCUGGCUCAGGAUAAACGCUGGCGGCGUGCCUUACCAAUGCGAGUCGAACGAGGUCAGACUUCGGUCUGGUUGAGUGGCGUCCGGGUGCGUGACACGUCGGUGACCUACCCAUUUGUGGGGAAUACCCUGCCGAAAGGUGGGCUAAUACCGCAUACGAUCCCUUCGUCGCAGAAGGGAUGAAAGCUCGCAAGGGCGCUGAUGGAGGGGCCGGCGGCCUAUCAGCUAGUUGGUGGGGUAAAGGCCUACCAAGGCAACGACGGGGAGCCGAUCUGAGAGGAUGAACGGCCACAGUGGGACUGAGAUAUGGUCCACAGCCCUACGGGGUUUAGCAUGGAGGAAUCUUGCGCAACAUCCGACAGGAUGGCGCAGCAACGCCGCGUGGGGGAUGAAGCCGUUUGCGGUGUAAACCCCUGUUGCUCGGGAAGAAGUACCGUCGGGGAGAGCCUGACGGGAAGACGGUACCGGGCGAGGAAGCCCCGGCUAACUACGUGCCAGCAGCCGCGGUAAGACGUAGGGGGCGAGCGUUAUCCGGAUUUAUUGGGCGUAAAGCGCGCGCAGGCGGACCGCAGUAGUGGCGUGUGGAAUCUCCCGGCUCACCCGGGAGGGGUCAUGCCAGACGGGCGGUCUUGAGGCAAACAGUGGGUCGCGGAACGGGCAGAGUAGGGGUGAAAUCCGUAGAGACUGUCCGGAACACCAGAGGCGAAGGCGGCGACCUAGGUUUGAGAAGCAGUCGCGAGACUGUCCUGACGCUCAGGCGCGAAAGCGUGGGUAGCGAACGGAAUUAGAUACUCCGGUAGUCCACGCCCUAAACGAUGGCCACUCGGUGUCGGGGGUAUCGACCCCCUCGGUGCCUUAGCUAACGCGGUAAGUGGCCCGCCUGGGGACUACGGCCGCAAGGCUAAAACUCAAAGGAAUUGACGGGGGCCCGCACAAGCAGCGGAGCGUGUGGAUUAAUUCGAUGCAACGCGAAGAAC